AUUGAACGCUGGCGGCAGGCCUAACACAUGCAAGUCGAGCGGAUCGCCGGACGGGUGCGUAAUGCCUAGGAAUCUGCCUGGUAGUGGGGGAUAACGUCCGGAAAGGGGCGCUAAUACUGCAUACUAUUAGCUGAGGCUAGGUCGGAUUAGCUAGGUGGUGGGGUAAAGGCCUACCAAGGCGACGACCCCUAGCUGGUCUGAGAGGAUGAUCAGUCACACUGGAACUGAGACACGGUCCAGACUCCUACGGGAGGCAGCAGUGGGGAAUAUUGGACAAUGGGCGAAAGCCUGAUCCAGCCAUGCCGCGUGUGUGAAGAAGGUCUUCGGGUUGUAAAGCACUUUAAGUUGGGAGGCGUUACCAACAGAAUAAGCACCGGCUAACUACGUGCCAGCAGCCGCGGUAAUAC
rnacentral:rRNA from 1 species